rnacentral:rRNA from 1 species
UACGUAGGGGGCAAGCGUUAUCCGGAUUUACUGGGUGUAAAGGGAGCGUAGACGGCAGGGCAAGUCUGGAGUGAAAGGCAGGGGCCCAACCCCUGGACUGCUCUGGAAACUGUCCGGCUGGAGUGCAGGAGAGGUAAGUGGAAUUCCUAGUGUAGCGGUGAAAUGCGUAGAUAUUAGGAGGAACACCAGUGGCGAAGGCGGCUUACUGGACUGUAACUGACGUUGAGGCUCGAAAGCGUGGGGGGCAAACAGG